rnacentral:rRNA from 1 species
CCUACGGGAGGCAGCAGUGGGGAAUAUUGGACAAUGGGGGGAACCCUGAUCCAGCGACGCCGCGUGAGUGAAGAAGUAUUUCGGUAUGUAAAGCUCUAUCAGCAGGGAAGAAAGAAAUGACGGUACCUGACUAAGAAGCCCCGGCUAACUACGUGCCAGCAGCCGCGGUAAUACGUAGGGGGCAAGCGUUAUCCGGAUUUACUGGGGGUAAAGGGAGCGUAGACGGCAGUGCAAGUCUGGAGUGAAAGGCGGGGGCUCAACCCCCGGACUGCUCUGGAAACUGUACGGCUGGAGUGCAGGAGAGGUAAGUGGAAUUCCUAGUGUAGCGGUGAAAUGCGUAGAUAUUAGGAGGAACACCAGUGGCGAAGGCGGCUUACUGGACUGUAACUGACGUUGAGGCUCGAAAGCGUGGGGAGCAAACAGGAUUAGAUACCCGGGUAGUC